rnacentral:rRNA from 1 species
UACGUAGGGGGCAAGCGUUGUCCGGAUUUACUGGGCGUAAAGAGCGCGCAGGCGGUCGUCCAAGUCGCGUGUGAAAGCCCCCGGCUCAACUGGGGAGGGUCACGCGAUACUGGUCGACUCGAAGGCAGGAGAGGGUAGUGGAAUUCCCGGUGUAGUGGUGAAAUGCGUAGAGAUCAUGAGGAAGACCAGUGGCGAAGGCGGGUCUCUGGACAGUUCCUGACACUGAGGCACGAAAGCCAGGGGAGCAAACGGG